rnacentral:lncRNA from 1 species
GCAUGUGGAGCGUCUGAUCAGCCACGUCAAUUAAUGAGGCUUGAUCAGACGCUCCUUGUUUUUCUGAAUUUCUUAUUUUCUGAUUUUAUUUCUUUUAUUUCCAUUAUUUUCAAAAAUUCAUAUCUUCUUCAUUUUAAUUCCAAAAAAUAUUGGACCAAUUGCAUUCUUCCCCAAAUAAUUUCUAGUUUCUAAUUUUGAUUUUUUAUAUUUUUUAUUUUAUCAUUUGGUAUUUUUUGUGAAUUU